GUCACCAUCCGGACCAAGUAUGGAGCGUGGACGGGUUGCUGGAGAGGUGCCCCUGAGCAAGGCACCAAACAGACAUCUCUCCAUGUAAUGCAUGUACAGGUCCUGUUUGUGCAUGUGUGUAUUUCGGGAGUGUGUGUUUAUAAAGUGUGAAAAAUUUGAAUUCCCCCAGGAUUAAUAAAAUAUGUCUUCUUUUGUUUUCUUGUGAUUGCAAGCCUGUCAUGCAAAGUGUAUUGAAAGCUGCGGUGGACGCUUCAAGCAGCGGCUGCUGAUUCUACAGCGAAGUGCAGCCAAACUAAAAGUUGGGGAUGGUUUUACUCUUAGUGGUGUUUUGGCAAGAGCACCUGGAGCCAGUCAGUAAACAGUCCUGUGACUCCUGAGACAUGUUGAAGAGAGUGAAAAACUUUCAGGGUCACAUGGAGGCCCAACUGUAUAGUCUGCCAGAGGAUUAUUACAUCAACCUGAUCUGCCCAAUAAUGCGGGGACUGUUUCUGAAUUUCUUCAGUAAUGUGUCCGUGGUUCAGACAAGGACAAAGACUGGCGUCUCAUGUACGAAUGUCAACUGGGAAUAAUGCAGUCAUACAUUAUGGUAUAAGCACUACAGUCCUUCCAAGGAACUGCCUCAGAGACAACGGCUGCAGCUACAGUAACUGAUCCAUGUCUGAGUGCAUUUUCCGCACAGCGAUGUCAUUUUCCACGCUCGACAUAUGCUGCAUAUGAACACUGGCACGAGAGAGCACACUGUCUGAGGUUUUAGAUCCCAUGUCAGUGAUUUUGAGGGAUUGGGGCCCUGCAGGAAAAGUGUGUUAGUAUCAAUUGCUCCCAGGGAGAACAACAUCUGGGAAGAGCUCCU